AAGUCGUAACAAGGUUUCCGUAGGUGAACCUGCGGAAGGAUCAUUACAAAUGGGGGAGCAAUCCCCCGCGGACAAGCAAAUUGGUUGGCAUCAUCCCUAAUAGUCGCCAAGGUCCUGUGUGGCCACCUCUUCGGAGUAUCGGUAGACUUCCUCGAAUAUAUAUUCAGGUUUCCCGCGGCGCCGGCUACUGCGGCUACUUGCUGGGAAGAUCUGGCCGUUUGCAAAUCCACUCCCCUGUCUAUGAGUACCUUUUCUUUUCCCUCGGCGGGUCCGCUCGCCGCUGGGACACCCUUAACCAACUUGCAAAUAUUGUGUCAACUGUACCAAAAACAAACUUACAACUUUCAACAACGGAUCUCUUGGCUCUG
rnacentral:misc_RNA from 1 species